UCCGGUUGAUCCCGCCGGACCUGACUGCUAUCGGAUUGAUACUAAGCCAUGCGAGUCUUUGUAGUAAUACAAGGCAGACGGCUCAGUAACGCGUAGUCAACCUACCCUAUGGACGGGAAUAAUCUCGGGAAACUGAGCAUAAUACCCGGCGUACCACCAUUCCUGGAAUGGUUGGUGGUUAAAAUGAUUCGUCGCCGUAGGAUGGGACUGCGACCUAUCAGCUUGUUGGUGAGGUAAAGGCCCACCAAGGCGAUUACAGGUACGGGCUCUGAGAGGAGAAGCCCGGAGAUGGGUACUGAGACACGGACCCAGGCCCUAUGGGGCGCAGCAGGCGAGAAAACUUUGCAAUGUGCGAAAGCACGACAAGGUUAAUCCGAGUGAUUUCUGCUAAAGGAAUCUUUUGCCAGUUCUAAAAAUACUAGUGAAUAAGGGGUGGGCAAGUUCUGGUGUCAGCCGCCGCGGUAAAACCAGCACCUCAAGUGGUCAGGAGGAUUAUUGGGCCUAAAGCAUCCGUAGCCUGCUCUGUAAGUUUUCGGUUAAAUCUAUAUGCUCAACGUAUAGGCCGCCGAAAAUACUGCAGUGCUAGGAAGUGGGAGAGGUAGACGGUACUUGGUAGGAAGGGGUAAAAUCCUUUGAUCUAUCGAUGACCACCUGUGGCGAAGGCGGUCUACCAGAACACGUUCGACGGUGAGGGAUGAAAGCUGGGGGAGCAAACCGGAUUAGAUACCCGGGUAGUCCCAGCUGUAAACGAUGCAGACUCGAUGAUGCAUUGGCAUAUAGCCAGUGCAGUGUCGCAGGGAAGCCGUUAAGUCUGCCGCCUGGGAAGUACGUACGCAAGUAUGAAACUUAAAGGAAUUGGCGGGGGAGCACCACAAGGGGUGAAGCCUGCGGUUCAAUUGGAUUCAACGCCGGA
rnacentral:rRNA from 1 species